CGGAGAGAACAAAGUUUUUUCUUUGAAGCAGUAAGAGAGGGAGAUGAAGGUUGACGAGAGUCUCUAUACUACAAGCACAGUAUCCGAAGUUGAAAGAGAUCUGCAAAUCGGAAAAAUUAGUGGCAGCAAAGCCGCUGAGGGCGGAGGAGCGACGGCAGUUGGCAAAUUUAGGGUUUUGAUGGAAUUGUUUUACGUUUGAGGGUGAGAGAGGAAAUUGUG
rnacentral:misc_RNA from 1 species